UGCGUGUUUUUUAGCGCGUUGUUUGACUUUCUUUUUUCGAAUGUGCUCUCUUUGUUUCAUGUAGUAUCGUCUUGCGGUGAAAUGCACGCAUCUGCAGCUGGCCUGUGACAUAAAAGCGACUUUAUUCAGGGUGUGUUUUGAGCUCCACCAGAAGUUAGCACAUUCUCGACGCUAUUGCAAGGCUCACUAUGACUUACGAUGCAGUCUUUUAGCUUCGAAUGUACGCCCGCAUGUAUUGAUUUGGUUUGUGGUGAUUAAUGUUUUUAACGUUCCGAAGCGACUAAAGCUAGGAUGGAGGUCGUAGUGGAUGGCUCCGGAUAACUUUAUCUAGCUCGCCUGGGGAUGUUUAACGUGCACUUUGAUCGUAGAGUCGAACGUGGGCCGGUAAAUUCCUCGUUGGCGUUUCAUAAUACUCGCGCGCUAGCGCUGCUUUAGUAGUUGGCGCCUCGGCGCGAUUGUAUUUCUUCAAUAAAUUUUAUUUACUAGUGUAACGACUUGCCAUUAUUUCGUAUUAUUGACGGCGCCUCCAGGGCACCAAAGCGACAACGGGAACAGCAAAGCUAGAACCAGCCCUGGAUGGGGCUCGCCGAAGCCUGUGCAUGCCAAGGGGGUAUAAGAUCGCGGACAGCCAAUUUUGUAUGCGAACACUCCCUGCGACGCCUGCAUUAGUGUAAUGUUACGUGCUCUUCAGAGGCCUCCGUUAGCCAUUACAUGUGCCCUCCUGGAGCAGUACUUGUAAAAAAAAAAAAAAACAAUAUAUCGUCACGGUUACCAAAGCACCCCGCAAUGAAAAAACGGCCCUGUUGCCAGGCAUUGCUGACCGCACACAGCCGGAAUCUCUCACGCGCCGACCGAACAAAAGUGUCCUGCAGGUACGUGAAUGAACCUACGAAACCACGUACACAUACGUUCACGCUGUCAACACCUGAAACUUUGGUAAUUACGCGCGUGUUUGAGUAAACCGCGUGCUUGCGUCGUGUUUCAGCAACACGAACUCUCAACGUCGCGCGCUUUACGCCUUAAAUACGCCUUGAAUAAUGGUCAUUUUCUCUAUUUCCUCCGCAAUUCUAACACGAAAUUCUUAAGGCCAGUUACCGACUGACGAAGAAAGAUCUCGAUUGAAAAAACUGCUCCGCAGGGCUCGAACGAACUUUUCUGCGGAUUUCCUCCCGUAGUGUGUUAGCCGUCGUCUGCUACGGCAGGCCCACCACCGGCGGCGCCACCGUCGAGGCCGCGCCGAGCGGCGGAGGAGGGAAGCGAAUGGCGCUACUUUGGGAGAUUGAGGGGCUUUAGCCUUCGCACGGCUACCGGAAGUUCUAGGUCAUGUCCCGGAAGUCUGGCAAAUGGCCGCCGUGUUUACAUGGUAGUAGCUGCGGUUGCGCCGUUUCGCCGGUAUUUGUUCUUUUUUUUUUUUCGAGAAAAUGCCUGCUUGCUGCGCUAUAAACUGCACAAGCAGGCCGGAGAAGACAUCUGGGAAGACAUUUCACGCGUUUCCACGUUCAAACCCUCAGCUGUAUCAGCGGUGGGUCGUGAACCUAAAGAGGGACAAAUGGACACCAUCUCCUGGCAGCAGACUCUGUAGUGACCACUUCGAGGAGGGUUGCUUUGAUCGAACGGGCGCAAGGAUACGUCUUCUACGUGACGCAGUUCCCACGCUGUUUUCUUUCCCAAAACAUCUGCAGAAGGUAGGACGAUUCUGAGUUGAUGUUCUGUUCUGAUUCUGAGUUGAGUUCUGAUUCUGAGACAUGGCGACAGCAAAAUUGAAUGGCACCGAAGACCUCAUGCAACACGCUGACUUUCCAAGUGAAAGUGAACUUGAUGCGGAAGUUGGAAAGCACCCUGUAUUGUCUCCCUACUUAGAAAAUGUUGUACGAUACAUUGCUGGAUUUGUGUGCCGUAUGGUAGAGCGCAAGAUCCCAUGCACCCUAUGGCACUCAGCUACUAUUGCAGAGGCAUGUUCUUCAGCGCUUUUGAACAGGAAGAACCGCGGAGGCCUUGCCAAGCCAUCAUCAUCCACCUCGUAUAUCUGCGAGAUGACCGAGAAGGUCAUUCGUCUCCAGGAAAAAGUUAAUGGCGGUAGCCUUUCAAAGAGACAAAAUGUGGAUAGCGCCUUGACAGCCAAGGUCAUGGGAGAGCUCUCGGCAACUCGGCUCGGCCAGCUGUAUCCAGAACUGCACGAGCACAUGUUUCAGUCAGCUGCUGACUCAAAUCAUUUUGUGCGUCUGGUUAAAUGUGUCAUUGGAUGCUACAUCAAGAUUAGAAUCCACCACGCUGCAAAGCAAGCAACAGCAAAGAUCAACGGCCCAAACAUCCGCAAGCGCUUGACGAAUUUGGUACUUUUCAACCACCAAUAAGGUAAUGUAAUAUGUGAUGUGAGAAAACUGCCAAUUUUCGAGUGAAAUAAACCAUGUUUUAUUUGUGUA